GACAGAGGCCCCGAGCGUUAAUCGGAAUUACUGGGCUUAAAGGGUGCGUAGGCGGACCAGAAAGCGCUUUGUGAAAUCCCCCGGCUCAACCGGGGAACAGCGGGGCAUACUGCUGGUCUUGAGGCAAGUAAGGGUUGCGAGAACUGUAGGUGGAGCGGUGAAAUGCGUAGAUAUCUACAGGAAUGCCGAUGGUGAAGACGCGCAACUGGGCUUGUCCUGACGCUGAGGCACGAAAGCGUGGGGAGCAAACAGG
rnacentral:rRNA from 1 species